AAAAAGAAAAAACCAAGAAAGAAAAAAAACUGCAAAUCACCUUUCAAAUAUUUUUUGUUUGUAUUGAUAUUCUCUCUGUGUGUGUAAAGGAAAAAAGAACCCCUUUACAGUGUUGGAAUCGGUCUUAUUUAACCGAAUCGAAAAGAAAAUAAAAAUAAAUAAAAAAACCCAAAAUCUCUUCUGCUAUUUUUGUUAUUUCCUUUCUU
rnacentral:lncRNA from 1 species